UACGUAGGGUGCAAGCGUUGUCCGGAAUUAUUGGGCGUAAAGGGUGCGUAGGCGGUUUGGCAAGUCUUGUGUGAAAUCUUUGGGCUCAACCCAAAGCCUGCACAAGAAACUGCCGGGCUUGAGUAUGGGAGAGGUGAGUGGAAUUUCCGGUGUAGCGGUGAAAUGCGUAGAUAUCGGAAGGAACACCUGUGGCGAAAGCGGCUCACUGGACCAUUACUGACGCUGAGGCACGAAAGCUAGGGGAGCAAACAGG
rnacentral:rRNA from 1 species